UAAUACGGAGGGUGCAAGCGUUAAUCGGAAUUACUGGGCGUAAAGCGUGCGUAGGUGGUUAAUUAAGUUAUCUGUGAAAUCCCUGGGCUUAACCUGGGCAGGUCAGAUGAUACUGGUUGACUCGAGUAUGGGAGAGGGUAGUGGAAUUUCCGGUGUAGCGGUGAAAUGCGUAGAGAUCGGAAGGAACACCAGUGGCGAAGGCGGCUACCUGGCCUAAUACUGACACUGAGGCACGAAAGCGUGGGGAGCAAACAGGAUUAGAUACCCUGGUAGUCCACGCCGUAAACGAUGUCAACUAGCUGUUGGUUAUAUGAAAAUAAUUAGUGGCGCAGCAAACGCGAUAAGUUGACCGCCUGGGGAGUACGGUCGCAAGAUUAAAACUCAAAGGAAUUGACGG
rnacentral:rRNA from 1 species